rnacentral:rRNA from 1 species
AUUGAACGCUGGCGGCAUGCCUUACACAUGCAAGUCGAACGGUAACGCGGGGCAACCUGGCGACGAGUGGCGAACGGGUGAGUAAUGCAUCGGAACGUGCCCAGUAGUGGGGGAUAGCCCGGCGAAAGCCGGAUUAAUACCGCAUACGACCUACGGGUGAAAGGGGGGGAUCGCAAGACCUCUCGCUAUUGGAGCGGCCGAGGUCAGAUUAGGUAGUUGGUGGGGUAAAGGCCUACCAAGCCGAGGAUCUGUAGCUGGUCUGAGAGGACGACCAGCCACACUGGGACUGAGACGCGGCCCAGACUCCUACGGGAGGCAGCAGUGAGGAAUUUUGGACAAUGGGCGCAAGCCUGAUCCAGCCAUGCCGCGUGCGGGAAGGAGGCCUUCGGGUUGUAAACCGCUUUUGUCAGGGAAGAAAUCUUCUGGGUUAAUACCUCGGGAGGAUGACGGUACCUGAAGAAUAAGCACCGGCUAACUACGUGCCAGCCGCCGCAGUAAGAC